rnacentral:rRNA from 1 species
UACGGGGGGGGGCAAGCGUUGUUCGGAAUUACUGGGCGUAAAGGGCGCGUAGGCGGCCACCGCAAGUCGACUGUGAAAUCUCUGGGCUUAACCCAGAAAGGUCAGCCGAUACUGCGGGGCUAGAGUGCAGAAGGGGCAACUGGAAUUCUCGGUGUAGCGGUGAAAUGCGUAGAUAUCGAGAGGAACACCUGCGGCGAAGGCGGGUUGCUGGGCUGACACUGACGCUGAAGCGCGAAAGCUAGGGGAGCGAACAGG